AUCCUGGCUCAGGAUGAACGCUAGCUACAGGCUUAACACAUGCAAGUCGAGGGGCAGCACAGUGUAGCAAUACAUGGGCGGCGACCGGCGCACGGGUGCGUAACGCGUAUCCAACCUUCCCGUUACUCAGGGAUAGCCUUCCGAAAGGGAGAUUAAUACCUGAUGGUGUUCAAAUUCCGCAUGUUAUUUGAACUAAAGAUUUAUCGGUAACGGAUGGGGAUGCGUGACAUUAGGUAGAUGGCGGGGUAACGGCCCACCAUGCCUACGAUGUCUAGGGGUUCUGAGAGGAAGGUCCCCCACACUGGUACUGAGACACGGACCAGACUCCUACGGGAGGCAGCAGUGAGGAAUAUUGGUCAAUGGGCGGAAGCCUGAACCAGCCAAGUAGCGUGAAGGAUUACUGCCCUACGGGUUUAAACUUCUUUUAUGCGAGAGUAAUGUGCGCUACGUGUAGCGUAUUGCAAGUAUCGCAUGAAUAAGCAUCGGCUAACUCCGUG
rnacentral:rRNA from 1 species